GGCGUGCCUAAUACAUGCAAGUCGAACGAACUCUGGUAUUGAUUGGUGCUUGCAUCAUGAUUUACAUUUGAGUGAGUGGCGAACUGGUGAGUAACACGUGGGAAACCUGCCCAGAAGCGGGGGAUAACACCUGGAAACAGAUGCUAAUACCGCAUAACAACUUGGACCGCAUGGUCCGAGUUUGAAAGAUGGCUUCGGCUAUCACUUUUGGAUGGUCCCGCGGCGUAUUAGCUAGAUGGUGAGGUAACGGCUCACCAUGGCAAUGAUACGUAGCCGACCUGAGAGGGUAAUCGGCCACAUUGGGACUGAGACACGGCCCAAACUCCUACGGGAGGCAGCAGUAGGGAAUCUUCCACAAUGGACGAAAGUCUGAUGGAGCAACGCCGCGUGAGUGAAGAAGGGUUUCGGCUCGUAAAACUCUGUUGUUAAAGAAGAACAUAUCUGAGAGUAACUGUUCAGGUAUUGACGGUAUUUAACCAGAAAGCCACGGCUAACUACGUGCCAGCAGCCGCGGUAAUACGUAGGUGGCAAGCGUUGUCCGGAUUUAUUGGGCGUAAAGCGAGCGCAGGCGGUUUUUUAAGUCUGAUGUGAAAGCCUUCGGCUCAACCGAAGAAGUGCAUCGGAAACUGGGAAACUUGAGUGCAGAAGAGGACAGUGGAACUCCAUGUGUAGCGGUGAAAUGCGUAGAUAUAUGGAAGAACACCAGUGGCGAAGGCGGCUGUCUGGUCUGUAACUGACGCUGAGGCUCGAAAGUAUGGGUAGCAAACAGGAUUAGAUACCCUGGUAGUCCAUACCGUAAACGAUGAAUGCUAAGUGUUGGAGGGUUUCCGCCCUUCAGUGCUGCAGCUAACGCAUUAAGCAUUCCGCCUGGGGAGUACGGCCGCAAGGCUGAAACUCAAAGGAAUUGACGGGGGCCCGCACAAGCGGUGGAGCAUGUGGUUUAAUUCGAAGCUACGCGAAGAACCUUACCAGGUCUUGACAUACUAUGCAAAUCUAAGAGAUUAGACGUUCCCUUCGGGGACAUGGAUACAGGUGGUGCAUGGUUGUCCUCAGCUCGUGUCGUGAGAUGUUGGGUUAAGUCCCGCAACGAGCGCAACCCUUAUUAUCAGUUGCCAGCAUUAAGUUGGGCACUCUGGUGAGACUGCCGGUGACAAACCGGAGGAAGGUGGGGAUGACGUCAAAUCAUCAUGCCCCUUAUGACCUGGGCUACACACGUGCUACAAUGGAUGGUACAACGAGUUGCGAACUCGCGAGAGUAAGCUAAUCUCUUAAAGCCAUUCUCAGUUCGGAUUGUAGGCUGCAACUCGCCUACAUGAAGUCGGAAUCGCUAGUAAUCGCGGAUCAGCAUGCCGCGGUGAAUACGUUCCCGGGCCUUGUACACACCGCCCGUCACACCAUGAGAGUUUGUAACACCCAAAGUCGGUGGGGUAACCUUUUAGGAACCAGCCGCCUAAGGUGGGACAG
rnacentral:rRNA from 2 species